rnacentral:misc_RNA from 1 species
AUGUUUCAGAUAGAAUAGAAUAAAUGUCAUUUAUGUUUGAAAUUCCCUAACUACCCAGAAAACUCAUAUAAUUCGUAUUUUGGUAAAAAUGUUUAUAUUGCACUAACACACUUACACUCACACGGGCACACAAUUCUACAGCUUUCCCUUUACACUGCAAAGCGUUUAAAGGAAAGGUCUAGUUCCAGCUGUAUCGGCAGGGUCAGCCGAACAGAUGGGUCUGCUUUACCCCAGCUAUACACUAGUACACAGUAAUCAUCAUGUCUUAUAUAAAACAUGUGGAAUAGUUCAGACAUCAAUAUCAAAUGUGAGUGAGAAUAAAAACUUAAACCUCAAGAUCAAAGCACACCUGAACCCGAAAGAAAGUUUAAAUUUGGAGUGAAAAUACUUAAAACAGUGUGUGAAAAAAUAGUUUUAUAAAAUGAAAACCUGAAACUUAAACUGAAACUUAAAGGAGGAAGAGAAACAGGAGAGAUCCGUGAUCCCUACACCGGGAUUUUAUAACAUGGAUCUUGGAUUCCUAAUUCUGGAUUGAGUGUAUUCUAGAAUCCUGGAUUGAGUGUGCAAGAAUCCUGGAUUGUGUGUUCAAAUAAUAGGAUCCUGGAAGUGUGUAUAUUAGAAUCCUGGAUCCCUAAACCUGGAUUGAGAGUAUUCUAGGAUCCUGGAUUGAGUGUAUACUAGAAUCCUGGAUCCCUAAACCUGGAUUGAGAGUAUUCUAGGAUCCUGGAUUGAGUGUAUACUAGGAUCCUGGACUGUGUGUGUAAGGAUCCUGGAUUUAAUGUAUACUAGAAUCCUGGAUUGAAUGCUGGGAUCCCAAUGGUUGAAUCCCAGUCUCCGGUAUGCAGGUUCACCAGUCUCACCAGUUUCAGGAUCAGGACAGGACGGAUCUCCUCUCUAUUAGAUCAGCUCAACGUAGGAUUGAUUUACUCCAUGAGGUUGGAUCAAUACACUCAGGGUCCCACAGAACCCGGAGUGUUUAUACCCAACCUCCUCCCAUCCAUAAACCAUUCAUUCAGACAGUUAAAAAUGGCCUUAGAAUUAUUAUAGCCUGGAUAUUUAGUAAUGUCGGAAUCUGUGUUCUUGUUGUUGGAUAUUUGGUUCUUGGAGCUCUCAUGUUCAAGGAAUUGGAGGAUUUCGAGACCAGUUCACCGCACAGGAUCGUUAAGGUUCGUGAGCUGACGGUCGAGCUGCUCUGGAACAUCACUGAGAAGUAUAACCUCCUUCAUCCUGGCAACUGGAGCCUCGAGGUCGAAACUAUAGUUAAACAAUACCAGAGAGAGGUUGUUGCUGCUGAGGCCCAGGGGUUCGACGGGAAUGAUAUUCCUCAAUCUCCCUGGGAUUUCUCAGGGGCUCUACUCUUCUCUAUAACUGUGAUAACUACCAUAGGAUAUGGGCAUAUUGUUCCUUUAACUCCUGUUGGUAAAAUAGUAACAAUAUUCUACGCUGUACUCGGAGUACCUCUCUUCCUUCUCUACCUCUCAAAUAUAGGAAAUAUUUUAGCCUCCAGCUUUAAAUGGACGUAUUCAAGAAUAUGUAAAUGUGAACUGGCAAAGAGAAGGAGAAAUGAUAAGUAUAGAGUACAAGCGCUCACACAACAAAUUCAUCCAGGGAUGAUAAGACUGACGGAGGAGGGGAAACCACAGGAUUCAGUGUCUGCAGCUGAAAGUUAUUCUGAAAGUUCUAGAAUAGAAGAACCUCAAUAUAUUCAGAACUUUGAGGAAACUAGUCAGGUUGCUGUCCCAAUAACGUUAAGUUUGACUGUAAUGAUAAGUUAUAUAUGUGGUGGAGCAAUACUAUUCGGAGAAUGGGAAGGAUGGAAUUUUCUAGACGGAUUCUACUUCUGUUUCAUUUCACUCAGUACGAUUGGGUUUGGAGAUAUACUACCUGGAGAUGCAAUGGACCAGGAUGAGAGUGAGGCCAAGCUGGCUGGUGUCGUCAACAUCCAGUUUAUCUUCUGCAGCCUCUACAUCCUCCUCGGUAUGGCCGUCAUAGCUAUGUGCUUCAACCUGAUGCAGGAGAAGGUCGUCUGGGGGGUCAUUGCCCUCGGAAGAAAACUUGGGAUCGUCAAAUAUGAUUAGACCUCUCUACUCUUAAAAUACUUUUAGCACAUCUUUUUGGUGAUUUUUUCUACCCUGUGAAGUGACAUUCCUUAAAGAAUACAGAAACCAGUGACAUUCAAUAAACAUGAACUCCCUAGGCUCUAACAUAAAAUCAAUAACCUUUGUAUAGACAGAGAAAUGUGAUAAUUUCAUUUAACUGUUAAAAAACACUUUUGUUGUUUCAUUUGAAAUAUAAAUAAGUAAAAAUUUUGUUUACCACCUUUUGACCAAAAUUACAGACCUAUGAUUCCCACAAUAUUGGGAGGUUAAGUUACUUUACACCCUUUGGGACAAUUAAUUAAGAUAA